AUUGAACGCUGGCUGCAGGCCUAACACAUGCAAGUCGGGCGGAGCGGCGGACGGGUGAGCACUGCCUAGGAACCUGCCUGGUCGUGGGGGAUCACGUCCGGAAACGGGCGCUAAUACUGCAUACUAUCAGAUGAGCCCAGGUCGGAUUAGCUAGUUGGUGGGGUAACGGCCUACCAAGUCGACGAUCCGUAACUGGUCUGAGAGGGUGAUGAGUCACACUGGAACUGAGACACGGUCCAGACUCCUACGGGAGGCAGCAGUGGGGAAUAUUGGACAAUGGGCGAAAGCCUGAUCCAGCCAUGCCGCGUGUGUGAAGAAGGUCUUCGGAUUGUAAAGCACUUUAAGUUGGGAGGCGUUACCAACAGAAUAAGCACCUGCUAACUCCGUGCCAGCAGCCGCGGUAAUUC
rnacentral:rRNA from 1 species